GGGAUAGUACUCAAGUGUUCCUGUGACAGCAUUUCAGAAGGAAGGCACAUUGUUAGCCUCUCAGGGCCUGACAUGUUACAAAACCCAACACAUAUCGGAUGUGCAUGACACUAGAAAACCUGAGGUCCUAGGUCCAGGCUUGGUCUACAAAGUGCUGAAUGCCCACAGAGGGUGUCUCUCCCCUCUGGGCCUGUGGGAUGCCAGGCCCUUCUUGAGUGACCACCUGGCUCCUCCAAUUCCCAGGGGCCCUGUGUGGCACAGAGAAGUGGAAGCCAGCCUUAUAAAAUUGCAGACGCCGGUUUAUUACCGAAGGCUAGCCAGGACUCUUCUACUAGCCCAGCCAGCGGAUGCCCACAAGGGUCCCAACUCAGUCUUCCAAGAGCAAGGCAGGGCUGCCUCACGGUGGAGAUGGGAGCAGUGUUCCCUCCUGGGGCAAUGGCGGUUUUCCUGCUCAGUGGCAGCCAGGGUAGGCAGUGGAUACCAGCACCGUCUUCUCAGGAGGGCACUCUCAGCUUCGGAGUCCCCAAAAAGAACUGUAGGACACGGUCAGCCAGGAGUGCCAGGCCGAAGUCCAGGGCCAGGACCUGGCCGAUGACCAGCUUGAACUGUCAAGGAGGAAGCAGGUUGAGCUGGGCCUGUGGCUGAGUGGGGCCAGGCUGCGCCAGGGCCACUGCUC
rnacentral:lncRNA from 1 species